GGCUCCUUGUCUUCCUAAAAAUAAGGAGUCGUACCUGCCCAGUGAAUUGUUUUAACGGCCGCGGUACUCUAACCGUGCAAAGGUAGCAUAAUCAUUUGCCUUAUAAUUGAAGGCUAGUAUGAAUGGUUUGACAAGAAUAUAACUGUCUUUUUUUGACUUAACAAAAAUUGAUUUAUGAGUGAAGAAGCUCAUAUAGAACUGAUAGACAAGAAGACCCUAUCGAGCUUUAAAGAAAUUAAUAGAAAUAUGAUUAAUAAAUUUAAAAAAUAAGCUAUUAAAUAUUUUAGUUGGGGCGACUGAGGAACAAAUAAAACUUCCUUUUUUAAAAAAUCAUAACAAGCAUUGAUCCGAAGAUAUUAUUUCGACUAAAGGAAUUAGUUACCGUAGGGAUAACAGCAUAAUUCUUCUUGAGAGCUCAUAUCGAAAGAGGAGUUUGUGACCUCGAUGUUGGACCAGAAUGUCCUAAAGGUGUAGCAGCCUUUAAGGGUUGGUCUGUUCGACCAUUAAAAUUCUACG
rnacentral:rRNA from 1 species